rnacentral:rRNA from 1 species
GACGAAGGGGGGCUAGCGUUGUUCGGAAUUACUGGGCGUAAAGCGAGUGUAGGUGGUUGUCGUAGUCAGGUGUGAAAGCCUUGAGCUCAACUCAAGAAAUGCACUUGAUACUGGGCAGCUAGAGGACCGGAGAGGAUAGUGGAAUUCCCAGUGUAGUGGUGAAAUACGUAGAGAUUGGGAAGAACACCAGUGGCGAAGGCGGCUAUCUGGACGGUUUCUGACACUAAGACUCGAAAGCGUGGGGAGCAAACAGG